AAAUGUAAGUUCCAAAAAUCAAUAGCAAUGACUAAGGAUAUAUAUGCAUCUCCUCAUUCCCAUUACGCACUGCCAAAUUCCGGUGUUCGAAGUCGUAACCUGGUGGUGCCAUUUCAAACCUUACAGCACCAUAGAUUAUGGUAUUUUCAACUGCUUCGUACUUUUCAAUUCCCUGUCGUUCCAUUAUUCUUAUGGGACAAUUGAUGAUCUGCAAGGUUCUCAAAGUUUCUGCCGAGUUUUCAAGCCAUUGGGGUAAUCUUUCCACUCUUGGAAGCUCUUUGAUCGUGAAUCUUUGAAGCUUGAAUUCCACUUCUUUUAAGUUUAGUGUAAGUUGCUUGCAACUCCAAAUCAUCAAAUUUUGUAGUGAUUUUAGAUAUCUCAUCUCGUCUGGCAACAAUUUCAAGGUAGUGCAAUUAUAUAUCAUUAGGGUUUCGAGGCCUGCAAGGCAAUCUGGGCGUUCAAAUAGAUUUUCUAGGUUAUUGCACCCUCCAAUGGCAAGAAACCGCAGAGAAUUCAUGGUUCCAACUCCGUUUUUGUCCAGACGAAGCUUGUUUGUUGUUACCCACAAGUAUCUCAGGCUGAUCAAAUUCCUUAUAUCCUUGGGCAGGUCUUCAAGUGCGGAACAAGAUCCAAGAAUUAAGGUUUGCAAACUUUGUAGAUUACAUAUUGAAUUUGGUAGAUGCUUGAUUUUCGUAUUGCCAUGCAAGUCGAGGUAUCUCAGGUACUUGAGUGUUCCUAUGGAAUUUGGAAUUUCCUGUAGGUCUGCAUUGCUUAAAUACAACAAUCUUAACCCUUUGUACUUCCAGAUGCACUUUUCAGUUAGGGAUGCAUUAGGUAGCACCAUAUUUCUUUCUUGAAAGGCUAUGGAUCUUAUUUCAGUGACUUCUUUGGGAUGAUUGUUGCCCCCCGAGCCCUCAGAUUGUUCUUGUGUGAUUUUGUGUGCAAGUUUUUGGAUGAGAGGGUGCAAUUUAAUCCAGUAGCCAAGCCCAUGUUCUUCAAUUUCUUGAAUGAAAUAUCUUGACCAUAGCUCCAUGAAGUACUUCUCACCUAUAUUUUCCAUAGUUGAGUUCUUCUCUUCAGGUGAAUGGAGGAGCCCAUUUGCCAUCCAUAACUGAAUCAUAUCAUUUGAAGAAAUUAUGCGAUCGUUAGGUAAUUGAGAACAAUGCAGAAAACAAGGCUUCAGUUGUGAGGGCAUUUGAUCAUAGCAAACUCUGAGUACAUGUAAAAUACCGUUUUCCUUUUUCUCUUGGAGCGACAACUUUUCCUCGAUGUUUUUCCACUUGGCUAUGCUAGUUUCUGAAGAUAGCAAGCUUCCUAGACACUUUAUUGCCAAAGGAACUCCCAUGCAUUUCUCCAAAAGUUGAUCAACUAUUUUAGUGAGUUCUGGAUUUUCUACUUCUUGUCUGUUUCUGAAAGCAUAUUCUUUGAAUAAACGAGAUGAACUUUGCUUUGACAGUUUCUCAAGUUUGAAAAUUGUUUGAUAUUCCGUAUCAUCUUGCUUUAUCGGUGGGAUAUCUGGAUUGAUCCCCAAGCCAAUAUUAGUAUCUUCUGUAACUUGUGGAAUUGGAACUUCUAGAUUCUGAGCAUCUUCUGUUAAUGAUAGGCUGUGUUCAUAGAUUUUGUUUGCUAUAGCGUCUGCAGUUUCCUCAAUUUGUGAACCUGGAACUGCUUGGUUCUGGGUAUUUUUUGUUAACGACUGAUUGUGUGCAGAUACUCUGUCACCAUUCGCCAGAUUUUCCUUUGAUCGUCUCUCAGUCUUGUAGCCACGGUCUUGUAAAUAAUUUGCAAUUUCCUCAGUUUGUGUGGUCACUAUGAUCUUGCUGCCAUGUUGUCCCAUCUCCAAUAAUUCAUUUAACACUAAAGGGGAACGAUCUUUCAAGUUGGUGAUUGAAAGGUCUUGAAAGACGAGCAAAAAAGUUUCCACUUUCAGAAGUCGUUUAACCUUAGAAAGCAAUUGUUCUGUCGUCAAGUCCUCGCAAAUUUCUUUAUUGUCUGCAUGACUGUAAACCUCCUUCACCAAUCUAUGUUUAUUAAAGCCUUCCUCCACACAAACCCAGUAUCUUGAAGUAUACUUACCAACUACAUUGUUAUGAUUGUACAAGAAUCUGGCCACUGUGCUCUUACCUAUACCGGCUUCCCCAACUAUGUGGAAUACAUGAGUACAUUCAUUGAAAACAUUCAAAAUUCCAUCAUAUAUUUCGUCAUAUGUUCUGGAAGCAUCUAUUAAAGGGUAAAGCAAUUGCCAACUUGGUUUCAGGUGUCUUAUUGAAAUUUCUGAAGCACUAGGGAAAGUGUGUGUUGUCUCCAUACUUAUGGAAUCAAUGUGCUUUACUUUGAGAUGAAAUUCAUACAUUCUGGUUGCAAUGUUAUUGAGUUCGUCGCAUACUUGCUUCCUUUUACAUUUCUGUUUCAAUUUAUUUGCAGAAAUUUGAUUAGAGCACGAGAAAGGGGCAAGUACCUGUUUUCCAAUGUCCUUUUGUUUGAAGAUUUCCCAUUUGAAUUCAUCUAUGGAGUCCUCAACUUGGUAAAAGACAUUUUGAAGUUCCUUUAGCCAGUUCUGUAGACGUUGAUUU
rnacentral:lncRNA from 1 species